rnacentral:rRNA from 1 species
AAACCAACCGGGAUUGCCUUAGUAACGGCGAGUGAAGCGGCAAAAGCUCAAAUUUGAAAUCUGGUACCUUCGGUGCCCGAGUUGUAAUUUGGAGAGGGCAACUUUGGGGCCGUUCCUUGUCUAUGUUCCUUGGAACAGGACGUCAUAGAGGGUGAGAAUCCCGUGUGGCGAGGAGUGCGGUUCUUUGUUAAAUUCCCUUGAAGAAUUGAAUUGUUUGGGAAAGCAACUUUUAAUGGGUGGUUAAUUUCCUUUUAAAGUUAAUUAUGGCGAGAAGCCCAUAACGAACAAAUUCCAUGAAGGAAAAAAGAAAAAAACUUUGAAAAGAGAAGGAAAAAAUUCCGGAAAAUGUUGAAAGGGAAGGGCCAUUGAUCCAACCAGGUUUUUUGUCCCCUUUUCUCCUUGUGGGUAGGGGAAUUUUGCCAUUCCCUGGGCCCACCUCCAUUUUGGGGGCCGGAUAAAUUCAUAAGAAAGUAGCCUUCCUCGGUAAAUUAUAUAACCUGUCGGGAAUACUGCCAGCUGGACUGAGGACUGCGACGUAAGUCAAGGA